AGGGGGGCGGCCCAGUGGGUCUGCGCGCGCGCGCAUUCGGGGGGCCGGGGCUGAGGGUUGGAGGGUAGCUCUUUAGAGAUUGGAGACUUAGAGCGGGAAGGGAGGAACGUCAACCUCCCCUUCUUACAGAUGAUGAAACUGAGGCCUUGGGAGGGGUGCAAGCUCCAAAGCUUAGUGAGUGUCCCUGAAGAGGAUGUCUGUAAAGCGCUUUGACGGCGGCUCUGGGGAAGGGAGGGAGACAGAAACAGAUGAGGAGAGAGAAGGAAAGAGAGAGAAAGUAAUAUCUUCGGAGUUCUCUUAGGCAUCCAUCCCUGGCUGUUUCUCUCGAGGAUAGAACAUGACCACCUCUAUGUCAGAGUUCUUUGAAAAAUACCAAUUCCACAGGCGUGAGGUGUUAGUCUGAAAAAGAUCAUGGCUGUUGGCAAAAUGUACCAGAAGGUGUUGAGAUGGUUUAUUUGGAAUGAAAGUUGGCAGUCAAUUUCUGAAACCAAAAUACCCUCACACCCACCCACCCAAUAAUAACAAGAUUUUCUCCUUUCUCUGUUAUCCUCACUCCUCAGGCUGUCCUUUGGGAGUUAUGGCCAGCGUCACCUUUCCUCUUUUCUCACCUUCUUUCCUCUUUUCUUCCCCUUCUUUCUUUAAAGCUGUUGAAAAGGGUUGCAGAUGCUUGCCCAACUCUUUUAUGUUUUUUUUUUUAUUGGCUAUGAUCAUUAGUACUCCUCUCUUUUGUAAAUUAAUGCAAAUUUGUUUUUCAAUUGUUCCUCUGGCCUUCUAUUAACUCUUUUAUAGCUGAGGUUGCUGAAGUGCCUGAGUAGCAAUUUAGCCUCCAGUUGAGUUUUAUGCCAGUGGAUAAAUACAAAGAGCUCUUCAAUCCAUCUUUUUAAUCUCUAGUUUAUACAACUGAAGGGCUUGCAGCCUCCUUAGGAAGCCGGGGAAGUGGAAGGGAAAGCUGUUAAGAAAGCUUCACUAAACAAACCACCAGAGUUUUCCAUUGGAUUUUUUGGAACAUGGACAUCUUGGUUCAGAUGUCCAUUUUACCCCUCAUGGGAUUUUGUCUGGCAGUGUCGUCAAGGCAUAUGGUGUCGAAAAACUUGGUAAUCCCUCAUGGCCUUUCCUUUCUAGUCAUGACAAAAACAUGUCCCUUAAUUAUGUGGAGGCUAUUUUUAAUGGCUUUGGCUUGUAACAAUGAAAAUAAAUGUAAUAUGUAUUAAUUUAAAUGCUACGUGUAAUAUUUAGAAAUUGCUUUUGUUAAAUAAUAGUAAAAAUGUUGUGGUCAUGUUUAUAAAAUUAACUCCAAGUCAUAAAGAUGAUAGUAGCUUUUAACAAUUUAAUAUAAAUAUAGUAUAAGAAAAAACAAGGAAAGAUGGAAGUAGAAACUUUAUUUCCUAGCCUACCACUCUAAAGUCUGAUCCAUAGAAUUUCAGCUCGAUCCCCACAAGGUUCCGAUCUCCCUGUGGAGGUGAGGUAGUCUGUUCAAAGCAAGAGUCUUACCAGCCCAGGAGGAUGUCUUCCGACAGAGCCACCAAUGCAGAAUUGAGUAGAAGAAUCAAUCCCAGAAAACUCAAGCUAAGGACUUCAAUCUCCUCUGUGGUCUCAUCUUUUUUGGCCUUUUCUUCCAUAUCACUUCCUGUCUCUCUGAGCAGGUCUAUCACAUCUCAGGAAUCAAUCAAAGUCUCUCUACCCCAGACCUUAGAGUUCUAGCAAAGCUAAUGGGAUGGAUCCAUUGCGAAGACAGUUCACAACCCUGGGAGGCAGGGGUUCCCUUUAUACAGGCUGUAAGACAACUUUAUUUCCUCAAACUCUGUAUUACAUGGGGCCCUCAUGUCAUGGCGGUGUCACCUUGGGAAAAAUACAGAACUACUAAAGUAGUCAGAAAAACCAAGUCUUUAAUCAGGAAAGAAGUAGAGUUCAAUAUUUGGCCACCACACAGUCAAAUGCCUAAAAACCACACCAAGCCAAGGGCUCUGGGACUCUGGGAACAGAAUCUGUGAGCGGAUCAUUGCACUAGAUAAUUCUCCAAAGAACAAUAGAAUUUGGGGAAUUUAUAUACCUUUUGGGGAACUAAGCACCUGGAAAUUUGAUUGAUUUACAUUACCAUGGCUACAAGGAAAUGGGAGGUCCAGCCUAUACUGACUGGAUGCCUACAGGCUUGAGAAAGAAAUCAUAGCAGGAGACUGGGAUAUCUGGGAGCGGUCUACUUAGGGUGGAUACUAAAAGGAUGGUUCCUGCAUAAGUGUUAAGUCUUGUUGGGAAUGGAUCAUAUACUAUGGGAGAAACUUCUAACACUAAAAGGGUACUUAGCAUUUGCUUAGAUCUGCUAGCCCCACCUAAACUGGGAUUAUCAAAUACUUUAAGGUGUAUUUUUCAGUGGGAAACUGGUGAGUCUGAGACCCCCCUGGGGUGAACUCUCAAGGAACUGGGGCAAAUUUGGGGUCUCGAGAUUUCAAGUUAACAACGAAGAACGAAAUUCCAUGAGAGAAUUUCAGUGCAAAUUCUACUUCUUUAAAGCGUUAAAUGUGAACUCAUAUCUUUGUAAAAAAUUAAAUAUAGCAGCUUUUAGUAUGAUAAUAGGUUUAAUUUUCUUUCCUGCUUCAUAAUUUCCUUAUCCUCCCUCUACUUUAUUAUUAUUUAUAAAAACAGUUUUAAAAUUUUCUUUUUAAGAAAAACUUUGGGAAAUAUUUUAAAAUUUUAAUUAAAAAUAUUAAUAAUGCAAUUACUUCCUUAUAGAGGCCUCUCUUCAAAGAGCUAAGCAACAACUACAAAAAAUCCAGAAAAACAAAAUCAAACAACAUAAAGUUUGCAUCUGAUAGUAUAUGUAACAUUAUUCAUCCUUAGGCCAUUAUCACUUUCUCUUGAGUAGGGAAGUGUAUUUAAUCUAAAUUCAGGUGCCUUUUACCUUUAGGUUUGUGCUAGAGUAGGCAUUGUAUCAUAUAUGUUAAAAUCAGAAAAUUUGAAAGAAUCUCCGGGGUCAUCUGGUCUUCUGAUUGUGCUUUGUUCAGCCCUCAUUAAUUCACUUCAGGGAACAUUUGUUAAGUACCUACUAUGAACUCAGGGCUAGACAUACCAAGAGAAACAUGAAACAGCCUCUGACACCAACUAGCUUAAAACAACAUAUUACCAGUAAAGAAAAAGUCAUGAUUUGGACACUAACUGAGGAAGGGUCCAUCAUUCCACCAAAGGCUUCCAGAAGACCAAGCAUCCCUAGCAGCAGUCUGGAAUGAUUGAUUUAGGUCUGAUUGUGAAGGUCGUUAAAUGCCAAACAGAAAAGUUUGUUGUAGUUUUAAUUCUGGAGCUUCUUGAGCAGGAAAGUGAAAUGGACAUAAUCUCUCUCCUUUUAAAGACUUGUUACUUGGGGCAGCUUUGAGGAUGAGAGCCAGGGAGACCAUUAAGAGACUUGCAAGAGUCCAGAGCAAAGAUGAUGUUUGUCAAUGAGUGGCUUUUAGAGUUGGUCAUUCAGAGGUUAUAUGGACCAGAUUUGGUAAAUGAUAAGGGGAGAGUAAGGAAGGACAGAGUUAAAAGACCAUUCUGAGUUUGUGAGAGCUAAUGAGAGCCCCAAGAGAAAGUGUAGAGAAAGCAAAGAGGAGAGCCCAGGAGAAAACCAUGGAGUCUGGAUAGAGAUGGUGAUCCAGAAAGUUGUAUGUCUUCCUAUAUUUCUCUGAAUUUCUCUCUCUCUCUCUCUCUCUCUCUCUCUCUCUCUCUCUUUCAUCCAAUUCUUAUGUCAUAAUUUCAUUACAAAGACCAUUCUUUAGCUAUUCCACAAUUGAUGGGCACCUAUGUGUAAUUUGUUUCUAGAUUUUUGCUAUUAUACAAAGUGCUACUAUAACAUUUAUAUAUCAUAUAUAUAAUAUAUGUAUAGUAUAUAUAUUUCCUUCUGUCUUAACUUUUGGAAGGGUGUACCCCAGUAGUGAGAUUAUAAUAUGGUAACUUUUCUUACAUGACUUCACAUGGUUUUGAAAUGCUGGAUCAGUGUUCCUUCAUGACAUUGUAGUUAUGUCAGUGACAUGGUAAGAAAAGGCAGGUGGGAUGCUAGUUUUAGUGUCAGAAGACCUGGGUUCAAACUCUGCUUUUAAUAUAUACUAUUUAUGUAACCAUAGGCAAGACCUCCAUGGAUCCUAGGAGUUCAUUCACCUCUAAAAUGAAGAGAUUGGACCAGAUGAACUCUUAGGUCUCCUCAGAUUUCAGAUACAAAACCGUGUGAUACUAUAAAUGUUAACUAACCCCAGCAUUUAUAGGUUCCAUCACUAUAAUUAAACCCAAGCUCAAGCCAGCCUGCAGGAAGGCAUCCUGGGGGGAGAGGGGAGGGGCACAGGGCAUGAGCCAGCCUGGUCAAAGAGCAGUUACUGCCACCACCACCUUCCCUCAGACCUUUGUGGAGAUAGCCCAGGCCUUUCACCCAGGACCUCCUGGAAUAGAAGCAUUCCCCCAAUUGUGGGUCCUUAACCUCUGAAGCUUUCAUAUUAAGGAGAGCAUCACUAAUUCCCAUUCAUGGCAGGGAGGGGCAAGAAAUACACAAAUAGCAGGGCUUUCAACCCUGCCUGCCCUACUCCCAGCCCAUACCGAAAGCCAUUGUCCAGAGGAGCAACCUUUGUGGAGAUGACACCUGGCAAAUACUUUUUUUAAAAGACCCUUCCUGGAUUUAUGAGAAAGAAUUUGCUAUCCACAUUGAGAGAAAGAACUAUAGGAAUAGAAAUGCAAAAGAAAAACAUAUAACUUAAAACCUCUCAUUUGUAUAUAUGGGUAUAUGAAUUGGGGUUUUGAUUUUAAAAGAUUGCUCUAUAGCAAAAAUGAAUAAUAUGGAAAUAGGUAUUUAGUAAUAACAUUUGUAUAACCCAUUGGAAUUGCUUGUUGGCUCUGUGAGGGGGAAGGGAAAGAAAAUGAAUCAUGUAAAUAUGGAAAAAUAUUUUUAAAAUAAAUAAAAAUUAAAAAUAAUAAACCCCUCCUAUUUAUUAUAAAAACGAAUAGUAUAGAAAAUAGGUAUUGAGUGGUAAUGUGUAACCCAGUGAAACUGCUUGUCAACUCUGGGUGGGGGGAAGGAAAAGGGGAGGAAGACAACAUGAAUCAUGUAACCAUGAGGAAAAAAAAUAAAAA